rnacentral:siRNA from 1 species
UAGCCGACUGUGGUGUACAACA